CAGUCGCCACGGGAAUACGAAGGGGGCUAGCGUUGCUCGGAAUUACUGGGCGUAAAGGGCGCGUAGGCGGCGCUCCAAGUUAGGCGUGAAAUUCCCGGGCUCAACCUGGGGACUGCGCUUAAGACUGGAGUGCUUGAGGAUGGAAGAGGGUUGUGGAAUUCCCAGUGUAGAGGUGAAAUUCGUAGAUAUUGGGAAGAACACCGGUGGCGAAGGCGGCAACCUGGUCCAUUACUGACGCUGAGGCGCGAUAGCGUGGGGAGCAAACAGGAUUAGAUACCCCCGUAGUCCCUGUCUCUUAUAC
rnacentral:rRNA from 1 species